GUCGAGCGGUAGAGAGGUGCUUACACCUCUUGAGAGCGGCGGACGGGUGAGUAAAGCCUAGGAAUCUGCCUGGUAGUGGGGGAUAACGCUCGGAAACGGACGCUAAUACCGCAUACGUCCUACGGGAGAAAGCAGGGGACCUUCGGGCCUUGCGCUAUCAGAUGAGCCUAGGUCGGAUUAGCUAGUUGGUGAGGUAAUGGCUCACCAAGGCGACGAUCCGUAACUGGUCUGAGAGGAUGAUCAGUCACACUGGAACUGAGACACGGUCCAGACUCCUACGGGAGGCAGCAGUGGGGAAUAUUGGACAAUGGGCGAAAGCCUGAUCCAGCCAUGCCGCGUGUGUGAAGAAGGUCUUCGGAUUGUAAAGCACUUUAAGUUGGGAGGAAGGGCAUUAACCUAAUACGUUAGUGUUUUGACGUUACCGACAGAAUAAGCACCGGCUAACUCUGUGCCAGCAGCCGCGGUAAUACAGAGGGUGCAAGCGUUAAUCGGAAUUACUGGGCGUAAAGCGCGCGUAGGUGGUUCGUUAAGUUGGAUGUGAAAUCCCCGGGCUCAACCUGGGAACUGCAUUCAAAACUGUCGAGCUAGAGUAUGGUAGAGGGUGGUGGAAUUUCCU
rnacentral:rRNA from 1 species